rnacentral:lncRNA from 1 species
GAAAUGGCCAAAUAUGCAGUUGACUCACUCCUCCGUAAUCCAGUUGAAAAUGCCAAAUUACAGGUAGAGUAUUCAUGAAUGCAAGUACCAGAUAUCCCCCGAAAAGUUACGAACAGCUCUUAUUACUUGUAAAUAAAUUCAAGCUGAGAAACACUGGAGACGACUUUGUGUGGCAGUUGUUUAAUUAACUAAACACGCCAAACUUUGGGUCAACCAAUUUUCCAAAGUUCUUUGUUAUUAUACAUUCACAUGCAAUUGACCAAUCACAAGUCUUACGAUGUAGGACAGGAGUGUAUAAUACUCCUAAAACAGUAUUAUACUACACUAGGAGGAGUUAUAUGUACUGAAAAACUAGAUAAUAUUUAUAUUUAUUUACAAGAAAUUAGUCUUCAUAAUCACUGUAUGACACAUAUAUUAGGCGGUGAUUAUAGAAUGAUGUUGCUAUAUGUUAUUAACAACAACAAUGGCAAAAGCGACAAACGACAAUAACCACAACGACAACAACUCUAAGACUACAAAACGAACAUAUAGUACAAUACAAACGAUUCAAAACGAUACUAAUUGGCUACAUUAAGUGACUUAAUUGAAGGCAUGGCAAGUGUUUUGAAACUUGGGGUUGAUUGGCAAAGAUUGUUAAAUGGGAUGUGAUGCCAGGUAACGAUUGUUCUUGGAUAAAAUGAGAACUUAUAUACAUUGACGCACGACUGAAUUUGGCACAAAUGAAAUGGCUAAUUUGUAAAGAAAAUGAGUUGGAACGUUAAGCCUGUUUCACGCUAGCACACAAUUUUCUCCUGGCAAAUGCAAUCGAAUAAAUGACAUGCAAAAGAGUCAGAGGUGUAACUUAACACUUGCCCGGGGCAAGUGAAUAUCAUGACGGGCAAGUAAAUGUUUUAUCUUGCUUGCCCAAACGGGCAUGUUGCCUUGCCACUUUAUGUUUUCAUUGUCCAUAUAAAUUUUUUAUAGUGCAUGUACUUGAUUCAAAUUUUGUUUUUUGUGGACCAAAGCUAGAUCUGAGGCAGUAUAACAGCUAUAUAGAGCUCAGUGGUAGAAUGCCCCUUAAUUUAUACGCCUACCUAGGUACCCCGGUGGCCAUUGUCUGAUGGCAAGUGAAUUUUAUUCAGGGCAACUAAUUUUCAUGUCCAACUUGCCCUGAGGGCAAGCAACUCAGUCUAUACUUUUGUUUGAGAGAUCACUUAUUUACCUCUGUCAGAAACAUAAACCUGCUGACAAAAUUGCUAUAGUGUGAACCAGGCUUAGGGCGUGUUCAUAUGAACCGGGCUGGCCUGUUAAGUGUUAAACCAGGCUAGCUCACUUUGCCAGGCCAAGUUGUUAUUUGGAAACAAAUUUUGAAAUUAAUUUCAGAAGUUAAAAAGUCAUGUUUCAAAAGCAAAUUGAAAUCGACAGUAUUUAGGAUCUAGAAAUUAGGAUUAUUUUGAGUUUUUGACAAUGUUUAAUUAAAUUUUUUACUUUCAGGUAAAUAUAGCCCAAAGAAGCAAAUAUAAAGAGAGUAAAGACAGGUACAAUUAUUUACUAGCAAAACUAAAAAAGGCCAGCAAUUACCCAAAAAAUGCAAGGAGACAUUCAGCGUUUCGAGUUCAACUUUGUGAAGUUGCUAACUUCUCGACGAAAAAUGGACUAAAAUCCUAAAUAUAAACAAAAUGUGAUUUUUAUAGGCAAGGCAACUUAGAUUUCAGCCAACCACGAAACAAAACGUACUCGGAACUCAAGCGAACGAACCAAGGAGAUUUCAGACGAGGUCAGACGAGACAAUUUGGUCGUAGAGAGACAUCCGAGUAUGGCGGGGGAUAUGGUACUUCCACCCAUCAUGGACAGAAAAAAGAAUGGAAUACAGAGAGACAAAAGCCUUGUGAGG